CUCCUCCUCCUCCUCCUCCUCCUCUUUGUUUUUUGUUUUUUGUUUUUCGAGACAGGGUUUCUCUGUGUAGCUUUGAAGCCUAUCCUGGCUCUCUGUAGACCAGAACAGCUGAGGAUACACAGAAAACCCUGUUUCAAGAAAUCAAAAAGGGCCAGGCAGUGGUGGUGCACACCUUUAAUACCAGCACUUGGAAGGCAGAGACAGUUGGAUCUCUGUGAGUUUGAGGCCAGCCUGGUCUACAGAGCGAAUUCCAGAACAGCCUCCAAAGGUGCAGAAAAACCCUGUCUCAGAAAAAAAAGAAAGGAAGAAAAAGAAGGAAAGAAAGGAAUCAAAAAGAAAAAACAAAACUAGGUUCAAGAUAUUGGUUCAAACAUUGAAUCUAUAUUAAAUUUUCUUUUUUUUACUGAGGCCUAACAUUCAGAAGGCCCUGGAUUCCAUCCCCACUACAAUGUACACCCAGUUUAAUGGCACAUGCUGUAAUGCCCAACGCCCAAAAGGUAUAUACAGGAGGAUAGGGAGUUCAAAGUCAUUCUCAGCUAUAUAGCAAGUUGGAGGCCAGCCUGGAAUACAUAAAACCCUGUCUAAAAAAGAAAAGAAGAGGAGAGGAGAGGAAAGGAAAGAAAAGGAAGAAAGGUUUUACUGUUGUUUUUCUUUUUUAUUGUUGUUUGUUUGUUUCCUGUUCUAAGUCUCCAAAUUCCUAGGCAUAUUUACAUGAGCAGCACAUUGAGUCUGAACCAGUCAUACUUAUUUCAUGUAUUUCAAGUACUUGGCAGUCUCCACAGCUGGUCACUAUAUUGGAUGGACUGCUGUGGUUUGAAUAAUUGUCCUUUCAAAAUCCUGAGGCAAUCCAGGAAUUGUGGUACGUACCUGUAACCCCAGCACUUUGGGAAGUAGAGGCAGGAGGAUCAGGAGUUCAAAGUCACCCUCAGCUACAUAGCUGAGACCCUGUCUCAAAAACAAAAAACAAAGCUGGUGUUGUUUGUCAUUUUAACACCGUUGAUGGAUGGUACCUUUAAGAGGCAAUGGGGGGAGCUGGAGUGAUGAUGGCUCAGUGAUUAAAACUGCCUGCGGGCUGGAGAUGGCUCAGAGGUUAAGAGCACCGACUGCUCUUCCAGAGGUCCUGAGUUCAAUUCCCAGAAACCACAUGGUGGCUCACAACCAUCCGUUAUGAGAUCUGCUGCCCUCUUCUGGUGUGCAGAUAUACAUGGAAGCAGAAUGUUGUAUACAUAAUAAAUAAAUAAAAUCUAAAAAAAAAAAAAAAAAAAAAAGAACACUGCCUGCUGGAGGACCUGAGUUUGCUUCCCAGCACCCACAAGGUGCUCGGAACAAUAGACCCCAGGCACACACAGAGGUAGGAGUGUCGUGUGUGUGUGUGUGUGUGUGUGUGUGUGUGUGUGUGUGUGUGUCACCAUGUCACCAAAAGACAGUGUGAAAUCACUGAGAAUGGGACGGGAGCCACAGAUGUUUCGAGCCACCAUGUAGGGGAUGAGAAUUAAGCCCAGGUUCUCUGCAAUAGCAAUAAAUACUGUAAAGCCUGGAACCAUCUCUCCAGUCCCAAUAAAAGAAAUAUUUUUAAAGGCAAUUAGAUCUUGCCAGGGAAUGAAUGUUGUUAUCACCAGGAUAGGUUCAUCAUCUAAGGCAUGAGUUCACCUAGACCUUCCUGAUAGGGCAGUGGUUCCUAAUGCUGUGACCCCUUAAUACAGCUCCUUAUGCUGUGGUGACCCCCCCCACCAUAAAGUUACUUUAUUACUGUAAUUUUGCUAUUGUUAUGUAAUAUGUCAUAAUGUAAAUAUCUGAUUGCAGGAUAUCUAAUAUGUGACCCCCAAAAAGGUCACAGCCCACAGCUUGAAAACUGCUGUUCUGGGGACUCUGAGAUUCCCCAGGCCUGUUAGGGGACCUUAGUAAAUAUUUGGCCAUGAAACAUCUUCCCAGAGUUGCUUUCAAAGUGAACCACACCCCAUAAUCCCCUUCUUCACUGCAGAGUUCAUCUAGCCGUCAGCCAAAGAGAUCGUUUUUAUUGAAAAGACUCAUGACGUAGUGAACAAAAGCUUAGGAAAUAAACCCUAAUCCCCAAAGGAACACUCACUACAGCUCUACUCACACUAAAAUACUCAAUUUAUAGCCUAUAUUGGAUCCUCUGUCUGUAAUUUAUUACCCUAAGUAUGGAGGAGUUUUUUUUAAUACAAACCAAUUUCGAUGUACUUUACUAUUUUCCUUGCCUCUGUUAAAGCAGAAAUAAUAUAUUUUGCAGAGAGAUUAGAAGACAAAUGCAAUGGGGAGUCACAGGGAUGCCUCCUCCUACCUCCUAGGUUCCUUCUGACACCAGCUGGGGACCCGUGAUUGUGUUGGGUGUCUUGGGCGUUUGGAUUGCUCAACGUUCCCAGGUGGCUCAGAUAUAAGCUGAGCACCACAGUUUUUAAAACAAAAGUGGGGCCAGUGAGAUGGUUCAGCAGAUAAUAAAGGCUUGCUCUUCGAGUCUAAAUGACCUGAGUUCCAUCCCCAGCAGCCGCAGUGGAAGAAAGAACUGACUCCCCAAAGCUGUCCUCUGACACCCAACACACUUGUGCUAUGGCAUGUACACGAACACACAAACACACACACAAUAGUAAUAAAUUAAAAUAAAAUAAUGGACUUCUAGGAAAAAAGGAAGGUGCUGGGGAUCCAACAGCAUCAUACAAAUUAGGCAACAACCUUGCCUUGUUAAGAAAUUGGUAAUAGCUGGGCAGCAGCAGUGGCACAAACCUUUAAGCACAGCGCUCCAGAGGCAGAGGUAGGCAGAUCUCUCUGAGUUCAAGUCCAGCCUGGUCUACAAAGGAAGUUCCAGGACAGACAAAAAAAAAAUAAGUUGUUUAUACUGGUUAGUUUUAUGUAAACUUGACAUAAGCAUAGUCAUGAAAGAGGAGGGAACUCUGAGAAAAUGCCUUUGUAAAAUCAGGCUGCGGGCAAGCCUGUAGGGCAUUUUCUUAAUCAGUGUGGGGGGGGGCAGCCCACUGUGGGUGGGGCCAUUCCUGGGCUGGUGGUCUGGCUUCAAUAAGAAAGCUGACUGAGCAAGUUAUGGGAAGCAAGCCAGUAAGCAGCUCCCCUCCAUGGCCUCUGUGUCAGCUCCUGCCUCCAGGUUCCUGCCCUGCUUGAGCUGCUGUCCUGACUUCUUCAAUGUUGAACAGUGAUGUGGAAGUAUAAGCCAAAUAAACCCUUUCCUCCCCAAGUUGCCCUUGGUCAUGGUGUCCAUCACAGCAGUAGAAACCCUGACUGUGAUGCUGCUGUUGUGAAAAAUAAGAAAGAACACAAGUAAAUGAAUGAAAUAAAAACUAGAGACUGCCCAGGGGCUUCACUGAGAAGGGGCAUCUGAACAAGGAACUAAGAAGUAGGGGGAGGGGGGUGCAGUUCACAGAUCUGAAGGAAGGGUAACUGUAAGGAAACCGUUUUGGGUGUUUUCUGUGUGUGUGUUAAUGGAUGUGAAAGACCCCCAGAGGCUCAGGCCCCCAGGAUCUCAGUCCAGGACUGCAAUGACCCCAAUCACCAGGCAGAGUCGAAAGCUUGAUGCAAACAGCACGAGGCUUUAUUGUAGUUGUUUAACGAGCUAACCCCAUGUUAGCUCGGGUCUUUCAUCCACCUGCCAUGGCGGACGGCUAGGAAAGACAGCUCGAAACGUCUGCAUAGAGAUCUUGUAGGGCAGUGUAAGGGGAGUGUCUAGGGGUACCCACAGGCUCAGGAUUGGUGUGCCUCCAGGCUUGGAGGGUUUACCCUGUGUUGAUUGGUCAACUGGCUGUUAUGGCCCAUAGGCCCUCCCAGGGUGGUUGCUAUGCUCUGUGCGUCAUUGCUGUUCACGUGUCCAUAAAGCACACCCUGAGUUGUAAAGCAUAGCACCACCAGCUAACUUCUGAUUGGUUCCUUGCCACAAGGCAGGCAUCUGACCUCCUAGUGACCAAGGCAAGGUCAGACAAGCACGUGUUCGGCUGUUAUGGCUGCCGAAAUGGGGAGCUGGCCCCUUCAAAUGCACAUAUGUGUGCAGUUGUGUACACAUGUGCAUGUGGGCGUGCAUACAUGUAUACAUUACGUGUGCAGGCAGGCCAGAGAUCUAACCACAUCAGGUGUUUUCUUCAGUCACUCAAAACCACCUAUUUGAGACAGGGUCUCCCACUGAACUCAGAGCUUAGCCACUCAGCUAGAUGGGCUAGCUAGGGAGCCCUUGGGACUCUCUGUCCCUGCUUCCACAAGCAGACAUGUUCCCCCAUGGCUCCUUUUUACAUGGAGAGGGAUCUGAACUCGGGUCUUCAGGCUUGCCCAGCAAACACUUUACCAAUGGGUCCACCUCACAGGCCUGGCCUGUGUUUUCAAAGGAUGCUUCUGGAUACUGCACUUGGAAUUGAGUCUCAGAACCACAAAAGAAGAAAGGUUGGGUAGAGACCUGAUGCCAUCAGCCUAGUAUGCUGGGGUGGACCAGGGUAGCUGUGGUAACUAAAGAUAUAGGAAGACAUGGUUGGGUUUUAAGCACAUUUUUCAAUUAAAACCAUGACAAUUGGCCUUAUGGUAGAUUUGUGUUGUGAAAGCAAGAUGGGCUCUGAGGAUGACUUCAAGGUCUUAGCCUGAGAUUAAAAAUAUCAAAAGGCUGGCACUGCUGUUUCCUGAGCAUGGAGGAUUAUGUUUGCAGAGGGAAGAUCAGAAGUUCAACUUUGACACGUCACAUUGGAAAUGCUCUACCAGUUAAUGCUACAUAAUAAAUUUCCCCAGCACAUAACAUAACAUUUUGUCUACGUUUCUAUUAGUCUAAGUGAGAAAAGCAGAGGCAGUUCUCCUGAGGGCCUUUCAGGAGGCAGUCUAGAGGUCACCUUAGGUUGCAGGAUCUGAAGGCUCAACUAGGGGGAGAGGACCAACUUCCAAAAUGGCACCUGUCCCACUCCCAAAAUGGCACCUGUCCCACUUUCAAAAUGGCACCUGUCCCACUCCCAAAAUGGCACCUGUCCCACUUUCAAAAUGGCACCUGUCCCACCCCCAAAAUGGCACCCCGCACUUCUGGCAGGGAAUUUCAAUUCCUUGCUGCCCCUGAGCCACCCAAAAGUCAAGGCAAUAUUCACACUAUCUCAAUACCUAGUCUCAGAAAUCAUAUUCCAUCAUUCCAGUCAGGACUGUACUGUGUCAGGUAUAAUCUAAUUAUCAACUCAACCCCCCUACACGAAAUGGGAAAUUUAGCUCCACUCUCUGAAGUCAUAACACAUGAUUUGCAAAUAUUUUUAAAAACCAUCUCAGUUGCUUAUCAGCUAUUCAAGUGAGAUUAUGAUUUGGUUGUGAGAAGGCCCCCACAGGCCCUCUCGUUAGAACACAGGUGGUAUUUUGAGAGACUGUGGAAUACUUAGGAGAUGGAGCCUCGCUGGAUAAAGUAGGUCACUGGAGACCCAACUCCAUGUUUAUGGCCCAGACCCAUUUCCUGUCCCAGCUCUGCUUCCUGGUGCAGACAAGUAUGGGAUAACCUUAUGCUCUGCCACCACAGCCAAAAGCCACCCUCCCCUGCCUUCCCACCAUGGCUAGCCGAAAUAAAGCCUUCCUUCCUAAGUUGCUUCUAUCUGGUAUUUCAUUACAAGCAGAAAAAAGGUAACCAAUGCAAGCAGAGACCGUGAGUGUGCAAGGCUGGGAAAGAUCUAGAAAGGAGGCCAUAAUAUUGGCGUUGCCAACUUGACAGAACCUAGAAUCACUGGGUAAAUGGUUCACCAGACAUGCCUGUGGGGAAUCACCUUGGUUGCUUUCAUUGAGGUGAGAAGCUCCACCCACAGUGGGAGGGGUCAAUCCCUGCCCGGGGAUCCUGGACAGUUUAACCCAGAGUGGUACCACCACUGGCACACACCUUUAAUUCCAACACUUGCGAAGCAAAGGCAGGCGGAUCUCUGUAAACCAAGUCCAGCCUGGUCUACAGAUCGGGUUCCAGGCUAGCUGGGUCUACACAGUGAGAUCCUGUCUCAAAAAAUAAACAAACAAACAAAUAAAUAAAUAAAUAACAAAAUGGGAGAGCACAAGCUGAGCCCCAGAAUUCUUCUCAGCCCCUUGGGUGUGAUUACGGGAGGCCCCGCUCCCUGCAGCACCUAUACAUGCCCUCCCACAGUGAUGGACUUUACGUUGCAACUGUGAGCAAAGACAAACUCUUCCUCACUCCACUUGUUUUGUAUUGUCCGAGUACUGUACCACGGAAAUAAGAAAAAGAGCCUAAAGCAGAGGAGAUGAAAUAUAAUUUUUCCUUUUCUUUUUUUCUCUUUUUUUUUGUUUUUUUUUGGGGGGGUUGUUUUGUUUUGUUUUUUUUGUUUUUGUUUUUCGAGACAGAGUUUCUCUGUGUAACCCUGGCUGUCCUGGAACUCACUUCAUAGACCAGGUUGGCCUUGAACUCACAGAGAUCUGCCUGCCUCUGCCUCUGCCUCAUGAGGGCUAGGAAUAAGGGUGUGCGUCAGCACACCUGACCUUUGUUUUUGUUUUGUUUUGUUUUAAAGAUAGAGUCUCACUCGGCAACCCUAACUAGCCGGGACUCUCAAUGGGACUGGGCUGGCUCUCACUUAUAACAAUCCUCCUGCUUCCCCCGCCUGAUUCUGUUGAGUAGAGACCAUUGUGUGUCAUCAUACUUGGUUCAGCAGUACAGUCUUAUUCUAGAGGAGCUAUGGACAUAAACUUUGGUUAAACAAGCUGUUUGACCUUGACCCUGGUCAUGAUAUCUGAACCUCAUAGAAUCUCACACUCCCUCCUUCUAAAAUGCAGGUGGCGAUACUAUUUAUUCUUAAUUGCCUAGAGCCUUGGUCCAUCUAGAAACUUGAGAGUGAGCAAACCUGUUCCUAAAGACACUACAAAGGAUGGGAGAGGAAGAAGGGGUUGAGCUAGACCGUUAAAGCAGAGUGAUAGUGGCCAGACCCUUUAAACUCAGUAUGUAGGGAGACACCAUAAUCACUCCUCCUAACGGCUGGCUACAAGUGUGCCCAACCACACCCACUAGGGUGUGGUCAAGGUGAUGUAGAAAAAAAUUUAAAGGGAUAGCUAAGGCACAUGGUAUCUCUCUUUUCUCUGCUGCUUCGACUGGAUCUAGUUUCCUGUUGGUUGGCCUUUACCUAUUAGAGAUAUCCUGACCUUAGGGGCUAUGUAUUAGUUAUUCACCGUAAUAUCAGUGUGCUGCUUAGUUUGUAAAACUGUACUCUCUGUGUUCUAAAAAUUGACCAGUUAAGACCUCAGGGCCUAGUUGGACACGUCACUCUUGACAAUCAUCUCAGCACUUGGAAAGCUAAAGCAGGAGGCUCAUCACAAGUGUAAAAGUCUAUAACCAGCCUGAGCUAGUAUGAGACCUUGGCACAUGAAAACUGCACUCAAAAAUGAACUUCAGUGGCUCUCUCUCUCUCUCUCUCUCUCUCUCUCUCUCUCUCUCUCUCUCUCUCUCUCUGUGUGUGUGUGAACUUGUGUAGUGUGCGAGUACACACAUGGUGGGUGUAGAGGCCAGAGGUCAACACCUUGUAUUCUCUUCAAUCACUCUCCACUGUUGUUUGAGAUGGGGUCUCUCACUGGCCCAGGAGCUCACUGAUUCAGACAGCCUGGAUAGCCACCCAGGAAUCCUCCUGUGUCCACCGCCCCUGUGCGAGGAUUACUGAUGCUUGCCAAGUACAGAGGUGAAGAGGACCUGAACUCGGGUCCCAGGGCCUGUGCUGCCAGCACUUCACCAACUGAGCCAGCUCCAGAAUCCUCUGAGCUGGUUUUGGAAUAGUUGGAAAGUGGUCUUUGGGGUCAACAGACAAAAAGAGGAAGUGAAAAGCAGAGCUCUACAAGAAGACACGUCUUAGUUCCUCGGCCUCAUUGAGAAACGCACAGUUAUCUCUGAGAUGUUUAAACCUGUGUAGGCUUAGAGGAUAGAGACAAAAGCUUUUGUUUUUUUCCAAACAGGUCUCACUGCACAUCUCUAGCCUUGAACUCAGCGAGACUCCUGCUUCUGCAUUGUAGGUGCUUAGAUUAAAGACAUUCUCCAGCACACCUGGCUUCAGGACAUUAUUUUUAUUAAAGGAGUGCUCCAGCUGCCAUCCUCGCUGUAUGGUAAUAUCAAAGUAUUUCCACCACCACAUCCAACAGAAACCAGGCAAUUUUCCCUGGUGAGCAUCUGUUUGCUUUUUAUAACUAAAUAAAUUACAUAUAUUUUAAAAUUUUUCAGAAAUUCUUUAUGAGCUUUAUUUAAUUUUUUGUGAAUGUUUUGCCUGCAUGUCUGUAGCACAAGAAUGCUUGGUGCCCUCAGAGAUCAGAAGAGGACAAGGGAUCCACUGGAACGACAAUUACAGGUGAUUGAUUGUUAGCUGCUAGGAAUCGAACCUGGGUCCUCUGCAAGAGCAACAGGUGCCCUUAACCACUGACCACCCACUCUCCAGCCCCCCACGUGUGUUUUUAAUUUUUCAUUGCACUUAUUUGGGGAGAGGGACUUGUACAUGUCACAGCAUGUGAGCGAAGGGCUGAGGAUGUCUUGCUAGAAUCCAUUCUCACUUUCUACCGUGUAGGUCCGGGGAGUGAACUCGAGUCACCAGAAACGAUGUUAAGCUCCUUAACUCAGGCCAUCCCACUGAUCCUACAUACAUUUACAUUUUUAAAAAAGACUCUGAUCUGAUCAUAUUUACCUCCUUUUCCCUGAGACAUGGGGACCACCUGCAUGCACACCUUUACAUCGCUACUGGGGUCUAAUAUGUGGCUUCCAUCAAGCUCAGUGCUCAGGCCAUCAUUUUGGAUUGGUCAUUCUGAAACUUACUUUUGUGAGUGGGGUGGCAGGAAGCAUUUGUAUGUCUGUCUUUGAGACAGCAGAAAAGCUUGAGUCAGGCACCCUGAGGUGGGGGAGGCAGCACUUGGAAAGUUAGAGAUGAGAAGAGAAAUGGAGGCCACGUGAGCAACAUAGAGCAUGCAAGACCAGUCUGGACUACAGAGAGAAGCUAUGAUUCCAUGUCUGAUGGCCCACACCUUUGGUCCCAGAACGUGAAGCAGAAACAGGUAGAUCUCUGUGAGUUCAAGGCCAGCCUGGUCUACAUAGCAAGUUCCAGGUCAGCCAGAGCCACACAGUGAGAUCCCUUUUCAAAAUAUACAGAUUCAUAAGUUCUGACCCUCAAAAUGAAGAGACCAGAUAGUCCAUAAUAGAUUCAUAUUAUCUAUAAUAUAGUAGUUUGUGAUUAAUAAUGGGUUGAGAUUUGAAGUCAUUAAGCUUUGGGGCAAAACUCGUUACUCGUGCUGUGGAGGCAGAGGGAUUAUAAAUUCAAGGCCAGCCUGGACAACUUGGUGAGACCCUGUCUUAAAAUAAAAAGCAAAAGCAGGGUUGGAGCUUCUGCUCAGUGGUAGAGCUCACUUGCCUAACAUGGGCAAGGAGGACCCUGGGUUCAAAUCCCAGCAUCACAGAAGGGAAAAUAAAUAGACUCUAAAAUAUGAGUAAUGCCAUUUGCAAACCAUACACUUAAAAUGGUUGAGAUGGUAAAUGUUACGUUCUUUACAUACUUUAACACACACACAGACACACACACAUCAGCAGAUCCUGUGGGACUGUGGGGCUACCACUGUGCGAUAGCUGCCCUUUCCGUGCCUGAGGCCUGGGCACCUGAGGUCAUUUAGGCCUCAUCAGCCAGCCACUCUCCUCUCUCCACUUUGUGUACAACUCCAUCCACAUGCCGGUGUCCCCAGCUCCCCACAAGGCCCCGGGUAUCCCGAAACCCUCCUUUUCAGGGUGCUACUUGCUUCCUCCAGCAUUAUAGCCCAAGAAGGGUUAUGGGGCAAAAUCAGGCUUGAGUCAGGGAGGAAGGACCACAGGGCCUCAGCCCCCAACCCCUCUCUAACUAUGAUGAUAGUUUGUUAUGAUAAAUCUUUCUGCCAAAUGCUGCUUGAGCCCCACCGCCACGUGCGAGCUUUACGCCAGCCGCCUGCCCGAGUUAGGCCCAAAUAAAUACACAGAAACCUGUAUUAGGUUCAAAGCUGCUUGGCCAAUGACUAGGAUUCUCAUCUGCUGACUCAGUCUUAAUUAUCAUAAAUCUAUAUAUUUUAUAAGACUUAUCUUAUCGGACACCUUAUUGGCGUCCCUCCUUGCUGGUGGAUCACUGGAGCAGGAGCGGAGGGGAAAAAGGGACCCUUCCUGUUUCUCCUUAGCUUAAAUAUGAGUCUCCUUUCUAUGUCACUUCCUGCCUGGAUCAGACUUCUCUACUACAUUUCCCAGAAUCCUCUUUGACUCCUAGUCCCGUCUACUUGCUGUCUCAUUGGCCAAACAGUAUUUUAUUUAACAAUCAAUAAGAUAAACAUACACAGUACAUUCCCCAUCAACGGUUGUGCUGGUGGUUAGCCAGCUCUGGACCAGCAUUAAAUGGGCAUUUAUCAAACCCUAAACUCUUUCUUCAACAGAAAACCGUGACCCUGGUCCUGUACCCUGGCAAGCAGGAGCCACUCAAGUCACCCACUGUCAGUAGGGAGGCCAGGGUUCCUGAACUGCUGAGGCUUGCUGACAGCAGAAAGCAAGGGCUGCAUCACUAUGCAGAGACAGGCCUGUCACUGGUGUGUGUGUGUGUGUAUGUGUGUGUCUGUGAUGUGUAUGCCUGUGUUAAAGAAGCUGAGAAUGCAGAUAAACUGAGGACCUGGUGUGCAGCCCACACACACAGCCCGUAGCAGAGUCCCAGGAUACUUAAGGUCUUGGGUGGGGGGGACAUUAAAUGCCUGUGUCCUUUUUUUUUUUUUUUUUAAUGAGACAAGGUCUCAGCAUAUAGCCAUGCUAACCUAGAACUCACUAUGUUGGCCAGACCGGCCUCAAACUCACAGAGAUCCACCUGCCUCUGCACUGCCCUCUUGGUACGGGAAUUAAAGGCCUAUGCCAUCAUGCCUGGCUUCCUUAAGGCUUUAGAGGGCCUCUGUAUGUUUUUCUAUGGCUGUGGAUAAAAGGUGACCAUAACGGGCAAGAAAGUGACAGCUCAGAGCACCCCCUGCUCUUCCAGAGGACCUAGAUUUGGUUGCCAGCACCCACUUACAAGCCUCUGAACCUCCAGUUCCAGGGGAUCCAACACCGUCUCUUGGCCUGCCUCCACAGACACUGCAUACCUGUGGUGUGCACACACAUAUAUUUAGGCCAAACACUCAUAUGUAUAAAAUUAAACUGAAUCCUUUUUUAAAGAAUUUAUUCUCCUACAGCUUUUGGAAGUUUGAGGUCCCAAAGCAAGGCAUGGGCAGGGCUGCACUCUUCUGGCUUUUGGCUCUUCCCAGUGUUCCUUGGCUUGUCUUCCUGUGACUCCUCUCUCUUGUGCAUCUCUUAGGACUUACACUAACCCAGAUGGCAUCCUCUCAGAGGCUAUCUGUAUCUGUAUGACACCUGCAGGCUUACUUUCCAAAUCUGCUCACAUUGGGGGUUCUUAGGCACAUCUAGUCAAGAGGACAUAAGCCAGCCCACUAUGCGCUAUAACCAGCUACUAAGGGAUAUUCGAUCACACUGUGAACCCCUAGUUAGCAUUUUCAUUAAUUAAAUAAAGUUAACCUUGAGUCUGAAAGCUGAGUUUGACUAAUUGACAGGAAGUUAUAAAGCAUCAGAGGACAUCUGGGAGAGACAGAGAGAUGCACCGGAAGGAGAAGGGAGGGAUUUCAGCGGUGCAGCUUCUUUUUGUUUUGGCAGACCAGAAGAAACAUACUGUUUGGGAGACACUAGGAAGAAGAGAAGGUUAGUUGCUUGCUACUCAACCUCUCUGAGCUAGCCUCAGAAUCUCAAGUCUUGUUUAUAAACAGAACAACAGAGAUUUAGUUAAAGCAAUCAUUAGUGGGCUGGGCAUUGGUGGCGCACACCUUUAAUCCCAGCACUCGGGAGGCAGAGGCAGGCGGAUCUCUGUGAGUUCGAGGCCAGCCUGGUCUACAGAGCGAGUGCCAGGAUAGGCUCCAAAGCUACACAGAGAAACUCUGUCUCAAAAAAUAAAAAAAAAAGCUAUCAUUAGUGGCAAUGGCAGAGUCAGUGCCUGUAGGAACAGAAUUCCCACCAGGCUAUAGCCAGACUGCUGCCAGAGAAGCAGGCUGGUAACUGUGGAGCAGCAAUUUCUGGCUGAAAUAGCAGUAGAUUAAGGCACAGCCACUGUGCCAAAGAUAAAACAUUUGGUGCUUUCUGCAUGGCAUGACCACAUGGACAGAGAAGUCAUGCCAGCAGCUCUCCCAUGGAUGCUGGAACUUUAGAAAGCAGGUUCAUGCUUAGAAACUGCAAGAGGGCCUUGAGUUCACCACCAACACCACAGAAAAACUGUGAAGUCAGCAGACUUGGUGAGAUAUCUGGGAAGUCCUUUAGGAGAGAGUGGAAUAAUAUCAAAAAGAAAAAUCCUUCCCACCUAAAGGAUGGGGAACAUUACAAUACAGGGUGCUAGGACCCUGUAUAGUGCUACUAUGGAUGGUUUGAGAAGGAAAAUUUAAAUGAAGAGAUAAAUGACAUAGCUGGGAUUGGCAUAAUAUAGAUUGUAAUUACUAUCAGUUUGGUAAUUAAUAUUUUACCCUUAAAAAAACGUAGUUUGAUAACUGUGCCAAUUAUGAUAAUAUGACUGAAAAGAUACACAACAUAGAAAGACUUACUGUUGAUAAGAUACAAGCUUUAGAAAGACUUAUCAAUGAAAAUAAGAAAAGUUUUAUUGAUAAGAUACUAGUCUUAGAAAGACUUACUAACAAAGAUAAAAAUUUGGCUGAUAAUAUACAAGUCUUAGAAGGACUUACUAUUGAUAGGAAAAAAUAUUUACAAAGACAUACUAAUGAAAAUAAGAAAAAUGCUCUGACAUAGACAGAGGAAUUUAGAGCAGAACCUCCCACACCAUUGCAUGAUGAAACUGAAGAGGAGCUGCCCAAGGUUAUUAGAAAACCAACCUCCAUUUAUCCAAUUACCACACAAAAAAGACCACCAGAUGAUAGGUACCUCCAAGGCUAUGUAGAAGUUAACUGGGAUCCUGUAGAAACAUUAGAUUUGGAGAUUUAAGGAAGAAGUCAUUUCAUAUGGCAUGCAUUCACCCUUUAUGAAGCAGAUGUUAAAUUCAUGGACAACUAGGGAAAGAAUUAUUCCACAAGACUGGAGAGAUUUAGCUACAGCAAUAUUGGAAGCUUUUUUCAGCUACAAUGGGAAAAAAAUGAAGGAGAGUGGAAGCUAGAGUCAUAAAACAACAAAGUAGAGGUAGAGGUAUGAAAUGUUCCAAGAUCAGCUUCUCAGUAAAGGCCACUAGGCUGAUUCACAAAGACAGUCUGCAUUUGAUGAUCACACCUUGGCUCUAUGUCAUGCAGCAGCUUUGAAUGCCUGAGACAGGGUUGAAGAAUCAGGAAAGAGGACUGAGUCAUUUACUAAAAUUAUACAAGACCCAAAAGAAGCUUUCACUGAUUUUUCACAAAGAUCAACUUCAGCUAUAAAUAGAAUGAUAUCAGAUCCAGAAGUUAGACAAAUAUUAAUUGGAUCUUUGGCUUUUUAAGGUACUAAUUCAGAAUGCAAAAGGUGAUUAGGUCUUUAAAGACAAGAUCAGCACCCAUAGUUGAAAGGAUCUGAAAUACAGCUGACAUUGGAUCUCACAUUUAUGAUAAUACUUGGAUAGGAGAAGUCAUUUCUAAAAAUUUUAAGAAAAUCAAAAGUUCAGAUGUUUUUUAAUUGUGGUAAAUAAGGUCAUCUGAAAAGAGAUUUUAGGAAAUGUGUACCUAGAACCAAGUUUUCUUUUAGAGAUAAUUCAAACUGCUAUAAAUGAUCAAAGACCAAAGCUAAAAAUACAAAUAAAUCACAUUGAAAUUGAGGGCUUGGUAGAAACGGGUGCAGAUGUAACAAUACCUGCACCACAAUCUUGGCAUCCAUCCAGAUUGGCCUCUUCAGGCAGUAAAUGUUCAGCUUGUAGAGAUUGGAAUUUUAUCCCAGGUAAAAACAGAGUGCAAGAUGGGUGGAGUGCAUAGGGCCAGAAGGACAGACAGGAAAAUUAUAACCACAUGUGGCUAACAUAGCAAUGAAUUUAUAGGGACAUGAUUUGUUGCAGCAAUGGAAAACACAGAUUAACAAUCCUCCAAUCUCAGAAACAAACCAUAAUCUAAUGUAUGCUUCUGAGAAAAAUAUUAAAAGGUAUUAUCAAACCAGGGCAUUGGUGGUGCAUGCCUUUAAUCCCAGCACUUGAGAGGCAGAGACAGGCGAAUCUCUGUGAGUUCAAGCCAGCCUGGUCUACAGAGUGAGUUCUAGGACAGCCUGCAAAGCAAUACAGAGAAACCCUGUCUCAAAAAAAAACAGAAAGAAAAAGGAAAAUAAAAAGGUAUUAUCAAGAACAAUCACUGACUGUUCAGGUUACACACAACUAAGGCAUAACAGCUGAUUCUUCAAAAGUACCAACAGCCCUACUUUCGAAAUGGUUAAUUGACAAACCAGUGUGAGUAGAACAAUGGCCUUUGACAUCAGAAAAAUUACAGGCCUUAGAAAGCUGGUACAAGAGGAGCUAAAUGCUUAAAAUAUUGAAGAAUUGGGGCUGGAGAGAUGGCUCAGAGGUUAAGAACACUGGCUGCUCUUCCAGAGAGUCCUGAGUUCAAUUCCCAGCAACCACAUGGUGGCUCACAACCAUCCAUUAUGAGAUCUGGUGCCCUCUUCUGGUGUGCAGAUAUACAUGGAAGCAGAAUGUUGUAUACAUAAUAAAUAAAAAUCUUUAAAAAAAAUAUUGAAGAAUCAACCAAUCCUUGGAAUUCUCCUAUAUUUGUUAUUAAAAAGAAAUUUGGAAAAUGGAUAAUGUCAACAGAUUUAAGAGCCACAAAUAAGGUGAGUCAUCCAAUGGGCUCUUCACAGCAAAUAACUUAGUUUCAAAAUGCCUCAGGCACUUCCCAGCUGUGCAACUUAACAUGGUUUACUUAACCUCUUUGUGUGCCAUCUCAUCUAAAAACCUAGGGAUAGGGAAUAGGUGUGCUGCUCAGUUGGUUAAACACUUACUUACUUAGGAUGUAUAAAGGCCUGGCUUCCAUCUCUGGCCUCUGCAUUACACUGGAUGUGGUAGCCAGUGUUUGUAACCCUGCCCCUCAGUAGGUAGAGGAAGCAGAACUGGGAGUUUGAGGCUAGGCUACAGCACUGUCUCAAGUAGCAAUAAACAACAAAUUUGCUCUGGUAAUAAAUAUCCCAAGCUACUGAACAAAAUAUUUAAAAUCUGAGGAGAGAGGAUGGAAAACAGCUCACAGGGUCAAGGUGCUUGCUGCCAAGGCUGACAACUGGAGUUCAAUCCCCAAGACCCACAUAGGAGGAAAGAAUCGACCCCCAAAAGUUGUCAUCUGACCUUCACACAUAUGGACAGGCACACACACACAAUAAAUAAUAUAAAUUUUUAAGUGCAAAAACAACAAAACUUCAAGGGGGAAAACAAAACAAAACAACAGCUGUGACAAUAAAUCUUCUGACACCAUUUUGUAAUGAAAAGUUUUUACACCAAGCUGCCUGAGCCACGCCACAUGUGGGCAGCGAAAAUAACACACAGAGACUUAUAGUAGGUACAAUGCUGCUGGCCAAUGACUAGGAUUUCUUAUCUUCUAUCUCUGUCUUAAGUAUCAACCAUAAUUAUUAAUCUAUAUAUUUUAUAAGACUUAUCUGAUCAAGGAUGCUGGCAUCCUCUCUUGUUGGGCUCAUGGCGGCUCCAGAGAAGAGAGAAGGAGGAAGAGGAAGAGAGCAA
rnacentral:lncRNA from 1 species